UACGUAGGGUGCGAGCGUUAAUCGGAAUUACUGGGCGUAAAGUGUGCGCAGGCGGCCGAGCAAGUCGAGUGUGAAAGCCCCGAGCUUAACUUGGGAACUGCGCUCGAAACUACUUGGCUAGAGUGUGGCAGAGGGAGGUGGAAUUCCACGUGUAGCGGUGAAAUGCGUAGAGAUCAUGAGGAAGACCAGUGGCGAAGGCGGGUCUCUGGACAGUUCCUGACACUGAGACACGAAGGCCAGGGGAGCAAACGGG
rnacentral:rRNA from 1 species